rnacentral:rRNA from 1 species
UGAACGCUGGCGGCGUGCCUACUACAUGCACGUCGAGCGAACAGACGAGGAGCUUGCUCCUCUGCCGUUAGCGGCGGACGGGUGAGUAACACGUGGAUAACCUACCUAUAAGACUGGGAUAACUUCGGGAAACCGGAGCUAAUACCGGAUAAUAUAUUGAACCGCAUGGUUCAAUAGUGAAAGACGGUUUUGCUGUCACUUAUAGAUGGAUCCGCGCCGCAUUAGCUAGUUGGUAAGGUAACGGCUUACCAAGGCAACGAUGCGUAGCCGACCUGAGAGGGGGAACGGCACCCGGGAAAGUACACCACCGUACAGGCCCUGAGGGACGGCAAAGGAUGGUAAUCGAGCAAAAAGGGCGACAGCUUGAGGAAGAAACGCCGCGGGGGUGACGAAGGUCUGCGGGUCGGAAAACGCUUUUUAUGGGGAAACACAAUUUGAAAAGUAAAUAAGGCCGCCUGGAGGGACCUAAAAAAGAAGCCCCCGGAAACUUACGG